CGAACGCUGGCGGCGUGCCUAAAACAUGCAAGUCGAACGAGGUCCACCCAGUGGCAACACUGGUGAAGACCUAGUGGCGAACGGGUGAGUAACACGUGAGGAACCUGCCCCGAAGACCGGGAUAACCCUCCGAAAGGAGAGCUAAUACCGGAUACCCCCACCAGAUCGCAUGGUCAGGUGAGGAAAUGCAUUGUGCUUCGGGAGGGCCUCGCGGCCUAUCAGCUUGUUGGUGGGGUAACGGCCCACCAAGGCGUCGACGGGUAGCUGGUCUGAGAGGACGAUCAGCCACACUGGGGCUGAGACACGGCCCAGACUCCUACGGGAGGCAGCAGUUAGGAAUCUUGCGCAAUGGGCGAAAGCCUGACGCAGCAACGCCGCGUGGGGGAUGAAGGCCUUCGGGUUGUAAACCCCUUUCAGUCGGGACGAAAAUGACGGUACCGACAGAAGAAGCCCCGGCCAACUACGU
rnacentral:rRNA from 1 species